rnacentral:rRNA from 1 species
GUAGGAAGCGAGCGUUAUCCGGAUUUACUGGGCGUAAAGCGUGUGUAGGCGGUUUGACAAGUUGGAUGUGAAAGCUCCUGGCUUAACUGGGAGAGGUCGUUCAAAACUGUCAGACUUGAGAGUGGUAGAGGGAGGUGGAAUUCCGGGUGUAGUGGUGAAAUGCGUAGAUAUCCGGAGGAACACCAGUGGCGAAAGCGGCCUCCUGGCCCAUUUCUGACGCUCAGACACGAAAGCUAAGGUAGCAAACGGGAUUAGAGACCCCGGUAGUCUUAGCUGUAAACGAUGUGAACUUAGUGUCGGUGGGUUUAAAUCCAUCGGUACUGAAGCAAACGCGAUAAGUUCACCGCCUGGGGACUACGGCCGCAAGGUUAAAACUCAAAGGAAUUGACGGGGCCCCGCACAAGCAGCGGAGCGUGUGGUUUAAUUCGAUGCUACACGAAGAACCUUACCAGGGUUUGACAUGCUAGUGGUAGGAAGCCGAAAGGUGACCGACCCUUCGGGGAGCUAGCACAGGUGCUGCAUGGCUGUCGUCAGCUCGUGUCGUGAGAUGUUCGGUUAAGUCCGCUAACGAGCGCAACCCUCGCUGCGUGUUACAUGUGUCACGUGGGACUGCCGGUCUUAAGCCGGAGGAAGGUGGGGAUGACGUCAAGUCAGCAUGGCCUUUAUGUCCUGGGCUACACACACGCUACAAUGGUCAGCACAAUAGGUAGCUAAGCCGCAAGGUAGAGCCAAUCCUCAAAGUUGGCCUCAGUUCAGAUUGUAGGCUGCAACUCGCCUGCAUGAGGAUGGAGUUGCUAGUAAACGCGCGUCAGCUAUAGUGCGUUGAAUACGUUCCCGGGGCUU